rnacentral:rRNA from 1 species
AUUGAACGCUGGCGGCAGGCCUAACACAUGCAAGUCGAACGGUAACAGAAAGCAGCUUGCUGCUUUGCUGACGAGUGGCGGACGGGUGAGUAAUGUCUGGGAAACUGCCUGAUGGAGGGGGAUAACUACUGGAAACGGUAGCUAAUACCGCAUAACGUCGCAAGACCAAAGAGGGGGACCUUCGGGCCUCUUGCCAUCGGAUGUGCCCAGAUGGGAUUAGCUUGUUGGUGGGGUAACGGCUCACCAAGGCGACGAUCCCUAGCUGGUCUGAGAGGAUGACCAGCCACACUGGAACUGAGACACGGUCCAGACUCCUACGGGAGGCAGCAGUGGGGAAUAUUGCACAAUGGGCGCAAGCCUGAUGCAGCCAUGCCGCGUGUAUGAAGAAGGCCUUCGGGUUGUAAAGUACUUUCAGCGGGGAGGAAGGGAGUAAAGUUAAUACCUUUGCUCAUUGACGUUACCCGCAGAAGAAGCACCGGCUAACUCCGUGCCAGCAGCCGCGGUAAUACGGAGGGGUGCAAGCGUUAACCGGAAUUACUGGGCGUAAAGCGCACGCAGGCGGUUUGUUAAGUCAGAUGUGAAAUCCCCGGGCUCAACCUGGGAACUGCAUCUGAUACUGGCAAGCUUGAGUCUCGUAGAGGGGGGUAGAAUUCCAGGUGUAGCGGUGAAAUGCGUAGAGAUCUGGAGGAAUACCGGUGGCGAAGGCGGCCCCCUGGACGAAGACUGACGCUCAGGUGCGAAAGCGUGGGGAGCAAACAGGAUUAGAUACCCUGGUAGUCCACGCCGUAAACGAUGUCGACUUGGAGGUUGUGCCCUUGAGGCGUGGCUUCCGGAGCUAACGCGUUAAGUCGACCGCCUGGGGAGUACGGCCGCAAGGUUAAAACUCAAAUGAAUUGACGGGGGCCCGCACAAGCGGUGGAGCAUGUGGUUUAAUUCGAUGCAACGCGAAGAACCUUACCUGGUCUUGACAUCCACGGAAGUUUUCAGAGAUGAGAAUGUGCCUUCGGGAACCGUGAGACAGGUGCUGCAUGGCUGUCGUCAGCUCGUGUUGUGAAAUGUUGGGUUAAGUCCCGCAACGAGCGCAACCCUUAUCCUUUGUUGCCAGCGGUCCGGCCGGGAACUCAAAGGAGACUGCCAGUGAUAAACUGGAGGAAGGUGGGGAUGACGUUCAAGUCAUCAUGGCCCUUACGACCAGGGCUACACACGUGCUACAAUGGCGCAUACAAAGAGAAGCGACCUCGCGAGAGCAAGCGGACCUCAUAAAGUGCGUCGUAGUCCGGAUUGGAGUCUGCAACUCGACUCCAUGAAGUCGGAAUCGCUAGUAAUCGUGGAUCAGAAUGCCACGGUGAAUACGUUCCCGGGCCUUGUACACACCGCCCGUCACACCAUGGGAGUGGGUUGCAAAAGAAGUAGGUAGCUUAACCUUCGGGAGGGCGCUUACCACUUUGUGAUUCAUGACUGGGGUG